GAUGAACGCUAGCUACAGGCUUAACACAUGCAAGUCGAGGGGCAGCGGGAUUGAAGCUUGCUUCAAUUGCCGGCGACCGGCGCACGGGUGAGUAACGCGUAUCCAACCUUCCGCUUACUCGGGGAUAGCCUUUCGAAAGAAAGAUUAAUACCCCAUGGUUCCGGUCCUUCGCAUGGAGGUCCGUAUAAAGAUUUAUCGGUAUGAGAUGGCGAUGCGUCCCAUUAGUUAGUUGGCGGGGUAACGGCCCACCAAGGCGACGAUGGGUAGGGGUUCUGAGAGGAAGGUCCCCCACAUUGGAACUGAGACACGGUCCAA
rnacentral:rRNA from 1 species